rnacentral:lncRNA from 1 species
CCCCCCACAAUCUCAUCAGUAGAUACCACUCCAAUCAAUGAGACAUUCUCUUGAGCCAAGAUAUGACUGGCAGAUGGGACAUGAAAGGACCGUAGCCCCCUAACCUAACCUAAAGAUUGAAGAAGGUCAGAGUCCCUUGUUUGACAUCCUCUUUGCUAUCAAUCCAGUGUCCCUCAGCAACCCUCAAAGUCCAAAUUCAAUUCCUAGGCCUCUUGAUAAUGGUUGACUGAUGAAAGAAUUUGAUCUUCCUAUCCUGAUUAUGGUUGACUAACGAAAGAAUUUGAUAUUUCUAUCACCCUCUCUAACCCAUUGGAUCUUUAACUUUUGUCGCCACAACACCUCCCGCUACUAUAAUAGAUAGUGGUGCAUCGAGAGCUUACCCCAGAGCUUGGCUAAGUUAUUAUUAGUGAGCCUGCCCUCUCUAUCCUUCCUCAAUUGAAGCUCAGGGAUAGAGGUCUUAGCAUUCUCCAAUCUCC